UCGCGGUGGCGGAGCGUCGUUUGCGACGCCCAACACACAAAACAAGCGGUGAAUGCUUUGGGGUGGGGUGACUGCGUACCUUUUGUAUAAUGGGUCAGCGACUUAUAUUCUGUAGCAAGGUUAACCGAAUAGGGGAGCCGGAGGGAAACCGAGUCUUAAUUGGGCGUUAAGUUGCAGGGUAUAGACCCGAAACCCGGUGAUCUAGCCAUGGGCAGGUUGAAGGUUGGGUAACACUAACUGGAGGACCGAACCGACUAAUGUUGAAAAAUUAGCGGAUGACCUGUGGCUGGGGGUGAAAGGCCAAUCAAACCGGGAGAUAGCUGGUUCUCCCCGAAAGCUAUUUAGGUAGCGCCUCGUGAAUUCAUCUCCGGGGGUAGAGCACUGUUUCGGCUAGGGGGCCAUCCCGGCUUACCAACCCGAUGCAAACUGCGAAUACCGGAGAAUGUUAUCACGGGAGACACACGGCGGGUGCUAACGUCCGUCGUGAAGAGGGAAACAACCCAGACCGCCAGCUAAGGUCCCAAAGUCAUGGUUAAGUGGGAAACGAUGUGGGAAGGCCCAGACAGCCAGGAUGUUGGCUUAGAAGCAGCCAUCAUUUAAAGAAAGCGUAAUAGCUCACUGGUCGAGUCGGCCUGCGCGGAAGAUGUAACGGGGCUAAACCAU
rnacentral:rRNA from 1 species